GACUGAUACACAUGCCAUACCUAUAUUUCUGACUUACAAAAGCAUGAGCUAAUAAACAUGUGCUGUUUUAAACUGCUACGUUCAUGCUUCCUCUCAGUAUCUGAUGACAAUGAGAAAUGCAUUUGAAGAGAUAAACACUUCCCGAAAGACCAUCAUGAUAGGAGCUGAUACUCACAGAUGCCUUAGUGAAUGAUUACGUCUCAGGAUGCCAUAAGGAAUACACAGAAGGGUACAAUCUCAAGCCUUGUCUGUAUCGAGUGCUGGAGAAUAUGUGGACAAUAGGAACCAGCAUUCUCUUCUGUCAGGAGUAUGAACCAAAGUAGCCAAUCCAGAGUACAAUCUGACAUUGCUCAAAGAAAUUGAGAAUGCACAUUCCCAGGACCCAGCAAUUCACGUUUGAAAGAAGAUAUGAAUGCAGCACUGUUUAUAGUAAUGGGAAGUUGGAACAGCUUCCUGUA